UUGGAUCUUGGUCGUUUGUCUGAGGGGCUUUAAAGGUUUGUGAGCUGGGCGGUAACACAAAUUGCCUCUGAGGACAUUCAAGGUAGUUUGUAUCACAUGAUGGCCCCAACAGUUUAGGCAUGGUUGAGACUUAUGAGCAUGUUGUGACAUAUACCAAAGACAUUUUAAUUAACCCGGGAUUAGUACGUUUUAACAGUCAUAGAUUCAGCUCUAUGCCAAGCCUUUGGUCUUUUUAAGCCUUAAGAUCACACAGAUGCUGAGAGCCAAUCUGCAGCCUGGAGCACAUAUCCAGAAAAUGAGGCACGGCUUGGAUGUCCAACAAGAUGUAAACGGGCACAGAGCGACGCCAGGCUGCAUCCAUCAGGUCCUGCAGGAUGUGGACGUCUGUGAGGAUGUCCAUCACUAUCGCUAUCACCUGAAAGAGAGAAAGAGAGAGAGGGGAAGUUUAACGGUUUAGGUUUUUAAGAGACAGAUUUUUGCUUAAUGCAAGGAGCUCCAUUUUAUUCCAACAACACCUUUGGCACAGGUACAAGAGGAAGACGAGAGAAAGCCAGCUUGGUGAGGACAACAAUAAUGAUUUUAUUGGACAGAAGCCAAAACAAAACAAUUUAAUCUUCAAUGAUUUAUGACUCAGUGACUCACUCAACCUCUGAUGCAACUCAAAUCUUAACUGAUCACAUGUGCACAUGUCUGUUUAGAGUUGAUUAAAAAGCUACAUUGUU